rnacentral:rRNA from 1 species
AGUGAACGCUGGCGGUGUGCUUAACACAUGCAAGUCGAACGAAUUGUUGGUAGGCUUUGCUAUCAACAGUUAGUGGCAAACGGGUGAGUAAUGCGUGGGAAUCUGCCCUAUAGUACGGAAUAGCCGUUGGAAACGACGAUUAAUACCGUAUAUCUUCCGAGGAAGAAGACUUGUCGCUAUAGGAUGAGCCCAGUUAGAUUAGUUUGUUGGUAGGGUAACGGCCUACCAAGACUGCGAUCUAUAGCUGGUUUGAGAGGAUGAUCAGCCACACUGGAACUGAGAUACGGUCCAGACUUCUACGGAAGCAGCAGUGAGGAUAUUGGACAAUGGCGAAAGCCUGAUCCAGCAAUACCGCGUGAGUGAUGAAGGCUUUAGGGUU